CUGCUAUCGGAUGAUACUAAGCCAUGCGAGUCUUUGCAGUAAUGCAAGGCAUACGGCUCAGUAACACGUAGUCAACCUACCCUAUGGACAAGAAUAAUCUCGGGAAACUGAGCAUAAUUCUUGAUAGAUCAUAAUGCCUGGAAUGGUUUAUGGUUAAAAUGAUUCGUCGCCAUAGGAUGGGACUGCGGCCUAUCAGCUUGUUGGUGAGGUAAUGGCCCACCAAGGCGAUUACAGGCACGGGCUCUGAGAGGAGAAGCCCGGAGAUGGGUACUGAGACACGGACCCAGGCCCUAUGGGGCGCAGCAGGCGAGAAAACUUUGCAAUGUGCGAAAGCACGACAAGGUUAAUCCGAGUGAUUUCUGCUAAAGAAAUCUUUUGCCAGUCAUAAAACCACUGGUGAAUAAGGGGUGGGCAAGUUCUGGUGUCAGCCGCCGCGGUAAAACCAGCACCUCAAGUGGUCAGGAUGAUUAUUGGGCCUAAAGCAUCCGUAGCCGGCUUUGUAAGUUUUCGGUUAAAUCCAUGUGCUCAACGCAUGGGCUGCCGAAAAUACUGCAUGGCUAGGGAGUGGGAGAGGUAGACGGUACUCAGUAGGAAGGGGUAAAAUCCUUUGAUCUAUUGAUGACCACCUGUGGCGAAGGCGGUCUACCAGAACACGUUCGACGGUGAGGGAUGAAAGCUGGGGGAGCAAACCGGAUUAGAUACCCGGGUAGUCCCAGCUGUAAACGAUGCAGACUCGAUGAUGCAUUGGCAUAAUAGCCAGUGCAGUGUCGCAGGGAAGCCGUUAAGUCUGCCGCCUGGGAAGUACGUACGCAAGUAUGAAACUUAAAGGAUUGGCGGGG
rnacentral:rRNA from 1 species